rnacentral:siRNA from 1 species
UUUUGUUCGGUGGUCGUGUGUUU